CUUUUGUUUUCUCCUUAUUUUCUUCUUCUGCUUCAGCUAUCAUCUCCUCAUCUUCUUUUUUUUUUUUUUCUUCUUCUUCUUCUUCUUCUUCAUCUGUUGCAUUCUCCUCUUUAGUUUCUUCUUCUUUCUUCUCUUCUUCACCUUUUUCAUCUAUUGCUGCCAUGUUCAUCACUGCGACUGCAAGUUCUUCGAGGUUUACUUGAUGCCAGCUAAGAGGGGG
rnacentral:lncRNA from 1 species